GCUCUUUGCAGGAGGAGAUGAAUGUAUGUCCUACUACUCUGCCAUCUUGAACCAGAAGAUCAGAAAGGUGAUGUCCAUGCUGUUGGGUCUAGAACAGGCUGUUGGGAAAAGCUCACACUCAAGAUGGAACAUAGCCUCAAUCCAGCUCUCUUGAAGGAAAUGGAGAUUAUGUCUCAUCCAGGCUGGGUCCAUGGUUCUUCUCAACCUCUCUUCCUCUCUCUGCUUCCUCCUUCCCCAUCCUCCUUACCCACCUGAUUCCCUCCACCUCCUCUUCCCUUUUCUGCCAACUGUAGUUUGAGCUCAAUCAUCUUGAAGGACACCUUCCCAAAUAUUUGUUAUGGCUUUUCCUAAUGAAAUCUAGCUUGGUGGCAUUGAUAUCUAUUUGUGAAAUACUCAUUAAAGAAUCAGAAGCA
rnacentral:lncRNA from 1 species